GCAGCUAAUGACGGGAAUUUAUGGGAAAUAAGAAAUAAAUCUAUAUGUGAGUACAUUCCGUGGGGAGCAAAUGAAAGUUAAAAUCAACUGUGUCCGAGUGCUGGGCCCUCCACAUAUCAAUGAGUCCCUGAGCCGCUAGAAAUUUUCUGAGUAAUCUGUCCAGAACCCCCACUCCUUGAGAACGAAACAUUCCGUGGGAUGAACUACAGUCGGCUGCAGAAUGUGGGACCGUGUUACAACC